ACGGUUUAAGUCUAAUGGUUCUUUUAUAUUCUUUUGGCUAUAUGAUCUGUACAUGUUAUCGAUAUUUAGCUCUAAAAAAGCAUAGUUGCGAAAUGUUUUAUAGGCUUACAGAAAACGAAAAGUUCUUUUUAAGAAUACCGGAAAACGUGGUGAAACGUGUUGAAAAGCCUUGUCUUCAGUGCCUCUUUUCCUUCACUUUUUUUUUUUUUUUUUGGAUCGUUAUUCUGAGAGCGAAGCUACGCUCAUGUGGUACAUAGUCCUGGAAGCUGAUAAGCGGAGAGAAGCCUGACUCAUCUUACUUUUCUCUUUUUUUUCUUUGCUUUUUCUUUUUUCAUCAUUGAGAACAGUUCCAGAUCAGAAGUGUUGCAUCGAAAUUAGUCUUUCAAGAAUUGAGCGAAAUCCAAGAUUAAACGACGAUGAAGCUCAUUGUAUUUCUGAUCAUCGCUGUGGUUUUGGUGGAAGCAUAUCCGAUCAGUGACGACUUCCAAGAGGAAAUCACGCCAGAGAAACGCUGCAAAUCACAGAUGAAGUCCUGUUAUAGUUCCAGCGAGUGUUGCAGUCCUUUGGUGUGUAAAGCAUACUGCAAUUAUGAUGCUGGCGGGUGUACAAAUGCUAGGUACUGCAUGAAGUUUUAAGGCGAGAGGCUUGAAGUUUAAGAUACGGACUCAAUGAUUUUUAAUACUAGUAUAAGAAAAGAUAAUGGUUGAAGUAUAGAACAAUGAUAACAAUUUGAGAAGAGAGCUGUCCUGUCCUGUCCUGUUUUCAUCCCUCCGCAAAAACCAAAACACUUCCAAUUUAAUCACUGACUUUACGUGUCCUCAAACAGAUAAGCUUAGGUAGAUCGAUUAGCCCAGAGGUUGUUUCAGGACUCUAUCAGUAAGAUAGAAGUUUUUCUGUUGUUUAAAAGUCGUUUAAUUUUUUCUUGCUUCUAAUAUUAAAGAUAAUCAAACUUCGAUAAA